AACGAACGCUGGCGGCAUGCCUAACACAUGCAAGUCGAACGAGACCUCCGGGUCUAGGGGCGCACGGGUGCGUAACGCGUGGGAACCUGCACUUAGGGUCGGAAUAACUCAGAGAAAUUUGAGCUAAUACCGGAUGAUGGCUUCUGACCAAAGAUUUAUCGCCUUUAGAUGGGCCCGCGUUGAAUUAGGUAGUUGGUGGGGUAAAGGCCUCCCAAGGCGAGGAUCAAUAGCUGGUCUGGGAGGAUGAUCAGCCACACUGGGGCUGAGACACGGCCCGGACUCCUACGGGAGGGAGCAGUGGGGGAUAGAGGAACAUGGCCGAAAGCAUGAUCCAGCUCUGCCGCGUGAGUGCUGAAGUCAUUAGGGUUGUAAAGCUCAUUUAACCGAGAUGAUAUUGACGGUAUCGGGAGAAAAAGCUCCGGCUAACUCCGUG
rnacentral:rRNA from 1 species